rnacentral:rRNA from 1 species
UACGGGGGGAGCAAGCGUUGUUCGGAUUUACUGGGCGUAAAGGGCGCGUAGGCGGCCAGCACAAGUCAGUUGUGAAAUCUCCGAGCUUAACUCGCAAAGGUCAACUGAUGCUGUGCGGCUAGAGUGCAGAAGGGGCAACUGGAAUUCUUGGUGUAGCGGUGAAAUGCGUAGAUAUCAAGAGGAACACCUGCGGCGAAGGCGGGUUGCUGGGCUGACACUGACGCUGAGGCGCGAAAGCUAGGGGAGCGAACGGG